GAGUUUGAUCCUGGCUCAGAUUGAACGCUGGCGGCAUGCCUUACACAUGCAAGUCGAACGGCAGCACGGGAGCAAUCCUGGUGGCGAGUGGCGAACGGGUGAGUAAUAUAUCGGAACGUACCUUUCAGUGGGGGAUAACGUAGCGAAAGUUACGCUAAUACCGCAUAUUCUGUGAGCAGGAAAGCAGGGGAUCGCAAGACCUUGCGCUGAUUGAGCGGCCGAUAUCAGAUUAGCUAGUUGGUGAGGUAAAGGCUCACCAAGGCGACGAUCUGUAGCGGGUCUGAGAGGAUGAUCCGCCACACUGGAACUGAGACACGGCCCAGACUCCUACGGGAGGCAGCAGUGGGGAAUUUUGGACAAUGGGCGCAAGCCUGAUCCAGCCAUGCCGCGUGAGUGAAGAAGGCCUUCGGGUUGUAAAGCUCUUUCAGCCGGGAAGAAAUCACAUGGGUUAAUACCCUGUGUGGAUGACGGUACCGGAAUAAGAAGCACCGGCUAACUACGUGCCAGCAGCCGCGGUAAUAC
rnacentral:rRNA from 1 species